AACUUUCAGCAACGGAUCACUUGGCUCUCACAUCAAUGAAGAACGCAGCGAAAUGCGAUAAGUAAUGUGAAUUGCAGACUUCAGGGAAUCAUCGAAUCUUUGAACGCAUCUUGCGCCCCUUGGUAUUCCGAGGAGCAUGCCUGUUUGAGUGUCAUUUGCCCUUCUCUCAACCAUAUCAGUCGAUGGUGGGGCUUGGAUGUGGGGUUGCAGGCUUUCGAGUAUGAAAGUCCAGCUCCCCUGAAAUGCAUUAGUGGUAUCUGUCUGAGCUGCUAUUUGGUGUGAUAACUUAUCUAUGCCUUUUGGUGAUCAGCACCGCUUAUAACUAUCAAUUUGACAAAUUUGACCUCAAAUCAGGUAGGACUACCCGCUGAACUUAAGCAUAUCAAUAAGCGGAGGCU
rnacentral:misc_RNA from 1 species